AACGAACGCUGGCGGCAGGCUUAACACAUGCAAGUCGAACGCCCCGCAAGGGGAGUGGCAGACGGGUGAGUAACGCGUGGGAAUCUACCUAGUUCUACGGAACAACACAGGGAAACUUGUGCUAAUACCGUAUACGCCCUACGGGGGAAAGAUUUAUCGGAAUUAGAUGAGCCCGCGUUGGAUUAGCUAGUUGGUGAGGUAAUGGCUCACCAAGGCGACGAUCCAUAGCUGGUCUGAGAGGAUGAUCAGCCACACUGGGACUGAGACACGGCCCAGACUCCUACGGGAGGCAGCAGUGGGGAAUAUUGGACAAUGGGCGCAAGCCUGAUCCAGCCAUGCCGCGUGAGUGAUGAAGGCCUUAGGGUUGUAAAGCUCUUUCAGUAGGGAAGAUAAUGACGGUACCUACAGAAGAAGCCCCGACUAACUUCGUGCCAGCAGCCGCCGUAACAC
rnacentral:rRNA from 1 species